CAAAAAAUUUUUAUAUUUUAUUUACAGUAAAAUUUUAGGUUUUGAUUAAUCUUUUUUGA
rnacentral:tRNA from 1 species